AACGUAGGUACCGAGCGUUAUCCGGAUUCACUGGGCGUAAAGCGCGUGCAGGUGGUUUGGUAAGUCGGGCAUGAAACCUCUCGGCUCAACUGAGAGACGCUGUCCGAUACUGCCGGACUUGAGGGCAUAAGAGGGAGGUGGAAUUCCGCAUGUAGUGGUGAAAUGCGUAGAUAUGCGGAGGAACACCAGUGGCGAAGGCGGCCUCCUGGUAUGCUCCUGACACUCAGACGCGAAAGCUAGGGGAGCGAACGGG
rnacentral:rRNA from 1 species